CUACCGCCUCCUUCCUCUUCUUCAGCGCAGCCUGUGUUGCCUCAGACUUCCACUCAGUCUGCAGGCCGGCCCGUUCCCAGGCCUCCUCAGUCACCUGCCACACAGUCAGGAGCCACUGACAUCCAUGAGGACGUGCUCGUGUUGGCCGCCGCGGAGAUGGACUUGGAAGCUCCUACCCCUUCUCUGCCUCCGCCACUGCAGUUGGCACCUCCCCCUCACAACGUCGUCCGUUGAUUGCUGGAGGGUAAGCGGUCCCAGCUGGAGGUGGAGCAGGGGGUGUACACAAACACCAUCCGGAAGGUCUUAGACAUCGAUGCCUGGUAUCUCAUGGCCACUGAGUACCUGGCAUGCUCUCGGUGUAUGAAGAGGGUUGUGGCAUGGUCACAGGGCAUAGUGAGGCAGCUGGAUGCAGCCCACCGCUGCUUAUUUCCAGCCAUCCUCACUUACA